rnacentral:rRNA from 1 species
AUUGAACGCUGGCGGCAUGCCUUACACAUGCAAGUCGAACGGCAGCAUGAUCUAGCUUGCUAGAUUGAUGGCGAGUGGCGAACGGGUGAGUAAUACAUCGGAACGUGCCCUGUAGUGGGGGAUAACUAGUCGAAAGAUUAGCUAAUACCGCAUACGACCUGCGGGUGAAAGGGGGGGACCGCAAGGCCUCAUGCUAUAGGAGCGGCCGAUGUCUGAUUAGCUAGUUGGUGAGGUAAAGGCUCACCAAGGCGACGAUCAGUAGCUGGUCUGAGAGGACGAUCAGCAACACUGGGACUGAGACACGGCCCAGACUCCUACGGGAGGCAGCAGUGGGGAAUUUUGGACAAGGGGCGAAAGCCUGAUCCAGCAAUGCCGCGUGUGUGAAGAAGGCCUUCGGGUUGUAAAGCAUUUUUGUCCGGAAAGAAAUGGCUCUGGUUAAUACCUGGGGUCGAUGACGGUACCGGAAGAAUAAGGACCGGCUAAUUACGU